rnacentral:ncRNA from 1 species
CUUAUCAAGAGCGGUGGAGGGAACGGCCCGAUGAAACCCAGCAACCUGUCAAUCAAGGUGCUAAAUCCGGCGGCAACGAAAGAUGAG